GAAUGGAUGGUGUAAUGGUUUUAGCAUUAGACUAUGACUCUGGAGACCAGGGUUUGAAUCCCUGCUCAACUG